AUACGGAGGGUGCAAGCGUUAAUCGGAAUCACUGGGCGUAAAGCGCGCGUAGGCGGCCUUUUAAGUCGGACGUGAAAGCCCUCGGCUCAACCGGGGAAUUGCGUUCGAUACUGGGAGGCUUGAGUCCUGGAGAGGGUGGCGGAAUUCCGGGUGUAGGAGUGAAAUCCGUAGAUAUCCGGAGGAACACCGGUGGCGAAGGCGGCCACCUGGACAGGUACUGACGCUGAGGCGCGAAAGCGUGGGGAGCAAACAGGAUUAGAUACCCUGGUAGUCCACGCCGUAAACGAUGGAUGCUAGGUGUCGGGGAGCGAUCUUCGGUGCCGCAGUUAACGCAUUAAGCAUCCCGCCUGGGGAGUACGGUCGCAAGGCUGAA
rnacentral:rRNA from 1 species